AAGCAAAACUCAUGCACUUAGUCUUUCCCUGUGUUCAAAUUCCUCUAUACAUGUUUAUUCUGAAAGAAAUUGUAGAAUAAAUAAAACAACAAUCGCACUAAGUAACUAUUGAGAUAAAUAUAUAUGUCCAUGACAUUACCCCCCCUUCUAGAGACAAGUUCCAUGACGAGCGGUCAUCAUCUUUCAUAAAUCUUUAUAAUUCUUUAUCUUGGUUUUGAUAGAUAUCAUUAAUAAAAGGCCU
rnacentral:lncRNA from 1 species